GCUUGUCUCAAAGAUUAAGCCAUGCACGUCUGAGAAUAAAGAGUUUUCUCUGAAUCUGCGAAUGGCUCAUUAAAACAGUUAUAGUUUAUUUGAUACAUUUUAAAUGGAUAACUGUAGAAACACUAGAGCUAAUACAUGCUAAGACCGUAAGGUUGUAUUUAUUAGAUAUACCGAGUAGGUGAAUCAUAAUAACUUCGCAAAUCGCAGUAAUACUGCGAUAAAUCAUUCAAGUUUCUGCCCUAUCAUGCUCUCGAUGGUAGUGUAUUGGACUACCAUGGCUCUCACGGGUAACGGGGAAUUAGGGUUCGAUUCCGGAGAAGGAGCCUGAGAAACGGCUACUACAUCUAAGGAAGGCAGCAGG
rnacentral:rRNA from 1 species